GACGAGUAACUUUGUAUUGGAAAUAACAAUUUUUUAACUUUUAAAAAGUUGAACUCCCUUUUGAAGAACAACGUCAAGCAUUAACUACUCUUUGAAGACAAAUAAAGAGAUCAAAGAAACGACAACCAAACAACGAUGUCGAGCCAAAAUCUUGAAACAAAACCAGCAUAUCCCGACAAACUGCGGUGAAACCUAUGCCAUCAAACGGGACCAACAACAACGAGUGACUCUCGCCACAACGCUUGCAUACGACGGUGUGUCGUCCGCAAAGAAACCCAACAAUAGAAGAGCACAUAACCAAAACAAAAUUCGAGCUAGCUAACCGACCCAUACGCAAAAAAUGCAUGACCCACAAGUUGCUCAGAAUCUCGUAUAUAGUUCGUUGAACAACCCAUUUACAAGGAAGAGGAAGGAGGACGGAUAUUAGAAACAAACGACGGAUAUGAUCUUGUCAUUAUGGGUAACAACCAGUCGCUAAGUGGUGGCAAGAGGUCUAAGCAGUUGUGGUUGUGCAACGCCGACGACUAAGCGAAGGUGAUACGGCCUUGAAAGUCAUCACACCACCAAAACUAAUACUACAUCUUAUCGGGAUUAUU
rnacentral:lncRNA from 1 species